rnacentral:misc_RNA from 1 species
GCAAACUUGGUCAUUUAGAGGAAGUAAAAGUCGUAACAAGGUUUCCGUAGGUGAACCUGCGGAAGGAUCAUUAACGUGUUUGAACCGUAAGGUUCUUAAUUCCAAAGCUGUGCGCUUUCGGGCUGCACGCGGAGGAAAGCACUCUUCCACACCUGUGCACAUACACGGUGGUGGGCUUAACUGCCCGCUGCCGAUAUAACACACAUCAUUAGUUAGUCCUGAGUGUAAAACCAUAAAAAUACAACUUUCAGCAACGGAUCUCUUGGCUCUCGCAUCGAUGAAGAACGCAGC